GAGCCCAAGAGCAGCAAGCGGGGGUGAUUCUGAUUCCGCGCGCUCCUCUCCACGCCGGCACGCCCCCACUCCUCGGAUCGGAUCGGAUCCACCCCGGCGGCCGGCGGCAAACUGUGCCGCGGCGGUCGCCGAUUCGCGGUCCCCUCGCCUGAGGCCGCUGGCUCCCUCGAGCUACGCCUGACUCCUGAUCAAGUGCUGCAAGGAACCAAUCAACAUGUACAGGUGCCAAGCAGUGGGUGGCGUUCAUGGGAAAAACAGAAAACUGAAGCGGUCCGGUCCAGCUGCAUAAAACACCGUGUUGAAUAUUGACUUCACCGACUGAAGCCGAUGCCGCGUGUUGAGCCAGGUGGUAAGAGAUAGCUAGUUUAAGAGAAUGCUGCUUCUGGUGGGAGAUACUAUACUGCUAUUGCUGACGUGCUCUUGAACUUGCGUUGCGUGCAUGAAAGGAGGAGUACUUUUUCCAGGUGGAGGCUUUUGUUUAUCAGUUGUACUAGGAUAUAGUGCAUGAUAGUUUUUCUGCUGAACUCACAGCUGUGUGGAACCUGUCACCAAAUGAUAUGAUGGUGGUUGCUCAAGAUCACCGCAGCCGGAAGCAAUCAAUGAUCGUCCCUGCUAAAUCGUUAUCCGUGUGACGUGCAAUAACAAUUAAUAUGGUCACCUCUGACUCUUGACGUUGAUUUUUUCUUAUUCAAACAACAGAGAAAAUUACCCAAAGGAACCAGUGGCCAGAGGAUGGUGGUUGCUCAAGAUCGCCUCAACUGUAAGCAAUCAAUGAAUCUUCCCUGUUAAAUCGUCAUCCGUGUAACGUAUAAUAUAUACCAAUUACUAGUAAUAGAAGGUCAUCUCAGAUACUUUGACUUCCAUUUUGCUUAGUCAGCAUCAAAGAAAGAUACAUAAAGAAUAUAUCCGUAUUGUUUGGAAUGGAAUCGGCAUUAGUUUCAUUCAUGUAACCGGUGAGUCGAAAUCAAGCAAGCUAGAUGGUGAGUUUUGGAGAGAUCAUAACACAAAACUCCUGGAUGUCAAGGCUCUGAUAUACGCUAAACAGAAAUUAAAGAAGGCCUGGAAGUCUGAGAUUCUUUUGGAAAUGACGAGGAAGUCCGUUAGACUAGAGACGGUUAUAUUGAAACAACUGCCCAUUUUGCCCCCAAUUUCAGAUCACUUCGCCUGACUUUUCUGUUCCCGUGCAAACUUUCUACUUGAUGCACAUGCCUACCACCUAGUUCGUACGACUGAAAAAACGAGCUAGCUAGUGCUUAACUGCGUUGCGUUAUAUUGACAUAGCCCUGUCAUGCAUGACUGGAAGAUAUUUUUUAGGGUGACCUGGAGAUUUUUAAGGUACUGCAUUGCCUUUUCUAUGGCGUCAUAAUUGACUUAUUUAGUCAGAUGACUUCCAAGUUUCGUUCUUUUCUUGAGGAAAGCAGGGUGGGAUCGGAGUCGAUCGAGAGGGAGAGCAUUUUAUAGUUUCCACUCAAAGGUUUGUUGCCUAAUGGAAUGGUUUCCUCUUGGUGUCAGUUCUAUGUUAUGAUGACUUCCUUAUCUUUGUUGUACCUUUUUGGCAUUAUGUACCUUUGUGGCAAGAUGACUUUCUUAUCUUUAUUCUUUGUCCUAAUUGAAAUACGCUUUAAUGUCACUAACGAGUGGGGCACGUGUUGGCGCACUUUGCCCGUGCGCGCGAUGAGUAACAACCGAGAUAGAUACGGUAAGAUAUCAACUUUAUUACAACCCAAAACUUCUUAUGUUAUCAUGGGUGCCCCACUGAAGUACUAUCCAUCUUACUGUUAUGGUAACUGAGUUGUGCGCUGCCAGUAAAUACAAGUGCCCCACUGAAUUAAUUAUCUUGUAGUUAUGGUCUUACCAGGCUAUUGCAAGUCUGCAAGAAGCACUUUCGCAAUCAAAUAGUUGUUUCAGAAUUAUAUGCUGAAUUGUCAUCAUCCUACUGAUGUUACUUAGUCCUGCUAGCUAGCCAGUCCAUUGUACCAUUUUGACCACCAAAUAAAAGAGCUUUGAAAGGAAUCAUAUCGGAAUUAACAGGAGUUAGGAACUUCCUGGAAACGUCGGAGCUGAGAUCUCAUUCCAGCAACUGCUGUCUCUAAUGAGGGGGAUGACAUGCUUACCAUCGCAUUGCAGUUUAGUAUAACCGAGAAGAAUUGACCAUCUGCAUUGUCGUUACUUUCAGAAAUUGAAGUUUAGUAGCUUGCACUACCGACUAGUCUUCAUUGUUGAGCUCGGUUGGUCGAUCGAUGUGGACUGGUCAUCAGACUAAAGAGGAUGAGACUGAAGCACUGGGAUGCAGAAGAGUCUUUGGUCAAGCUUCCCUAUCCUUUUACCAUGUCCUCUUGCUUGAGAAAUGUACAUGGAUCGGGAAUGGCAUUAUU